rnacentral:lncRNA from 1 species
CGUCCAAUUCAUCAUCACCUGAACCAAAAGGCCUUGGAGGUCGAGGAGGAUUUGCACCUUUGUGUGCUAAUGGAGGUGGCCGAGGAGGAGCAUUAAUACCACUUUUGGGAGGUGGCGGUGGGCGAGGGCCUGCCUUGCCUGGUAUAGGUGGUGGAGGAGGAGGAGGUCCUGGAGGGCGAACUGAGUUUCCUGGUGGUCUUGGUGGUGGUGGUGCAGGAGGUGGUGGAGGAGGAGGACUAGCCAUGGUGGAUGGGGGCUUAAAAGACGAAGGACGUUCAGGAGGCAGGGGAACAGCCCUGCCAGGAGGAGGCUUCAGAGGAGGUAAAAUUUCUGAGGUGACUGGCAAUGCUCCUGGAGGAGGUGGCAC